rnacentral:rRNA from 1 species
UACGUAGGGGGCGAGCGUUGUCCGGAUUUAUUGGGCGUAAAGAGCGUGUAGGCGGCCAAGCAGGUCCGUUGUGAAAACUGAAGGCUCAACCUUCAGAGGUCGAUGGAAACCGCUUGGCUAGAGUCCGGAAGAGGAGAGUGGAAUUCCUGGUGUAGCGGUGAAAUGCGCAGAUAUCAGGAAGAACACCCGUGGCGAAAGCGGCUCUCUGGGACGGUACUGACGAUGAGACGCGAAAGAGUGGGGAGCGAACAGG